GAAAAUCCAAAAAAAAAAAAAAAUUUCGUUCCUAUAUUGCUGCAAAUUUUCAUCGUAAGUUGCUGAAAUUUUUCGACGAGAAUUCUGUUAUCGCAACUUACACCAAUUUUCUUGCUGUUACUGUCGAAAUUUUCUUGAUUAAAUUGGACAUCCUUGCUGUCAUAUAAACUGAGAUAUUGCUGUCAAUUCCCUCCUCAAAUCUUUCAAAUUUUUUGUGGAGAUUUCGUCGAGAAACCGCUGUUUCUUCGACGAUAAUUCUGCUCUUACAAGACAACACAAUUCUGCAGCAAACUUUCACUGAUUUCUAUCAAACCUAUACAUGCCUUUAACCCGUCAAUAAAAG
rnacentral:lncRNA from 1 species